GGCUUCAUAGCUCAGUUGGUAGAGCAUCGCACCGGUAUCGUGAAGGGCAUGGGUUCGAAUUCCCGUUGUAUCCU